rnacentral:lncRNA from 1 species
AGAUGAGAUACUGCCAUAACCUGUAGUUAUACCCUGUGGUCUCACCAAAACAAGGAUGCCAGGAUUCAUUAGUUCAUUAGUAUAAGCCACACUGCACAUUGGGAUCAUCUCGGAAAAUGUGCAACUUGGUCUCAAAAACCCUGUGAAAUACAAAUUGUGACAGUCCAAGCUCCCUGGUCAUUUCUUUUUUGUUUGCUUGUUUUGGAGAUAGCAUCUCACUCUGUCGCCCAGGCUGGAAUGCAGUGACGUGAUCUCGGCUCACCACAACGUCUGCCUCCUGGGUUCAAAUGAUUUCCGUGCCUCAGUUUCCUAUGUAGCUGGGAUUACAGGCGAAUACCACCACACUCAGCUGAUUUUUGUAUUUUUCAGUAGGGACAGGGUUUCGCCAUGUUGGCCAGGCUGGUCUCAAACUCCUUAGCUCAAGCGAUCCCCCUGCCUUGGCCUCCCAAAGUGCUGGGAUUAUAGGUGUGAGCCACUGUGCCCAGCCUUCAUGGCCAUUUCAAGAAUUGCUGAGGUGAUAGCCAGGCACAGUGGCUCAUGCCUGUAAUCCCAGCACUUUGGGAGGCUGAGGCGGGUGGAUCACGAGGUCAGGAGUUCAAGACCAGCCUGGCCAACAUGGUGAAACCCCGUGUCUACGAAAAUACAAAAAAAAUUAGCUGGGCAUGGUGGCGCGUGCCUGUAAUCCCAGCUACUCAGGAGGCUGAGGCAGGAGAAUUGCUUGAACCGGGACCCGGGAGGUAGAGGCAGCAGUGAGCCAAGAUCGUGCCACUGCACUCCAGCCUGGGCUGCAGAGCGAGACUCUGUCUCAAAAAGAAUUGCUCAGGUGAUAAAGGACAUGAAUAUUUUUAAAAAUUUAUUCUUUAAAUUAAUAUAUCAUAAAGCUCAUUCUUUUGGAGUACAGUUCCACGAGUUUUUAAGAAAUGCACAGAUCUGUAACCAUCACCAUAGGAGAGUUCCAUCACCUCCCCAUAUUCCCUUGAGCAGCCUCUUGGCCCCUUGUAGUUAAACCCUACCCUCAACCUAUCCCUGUUUCCCUUUUGUUUAACCUCUGGUGACCUCUGAGCUGUUCUCUGCCCCUAUAUUUUUGCCUCUUCCAGAAUGUCACCUAAAUGGACUCAUGCAGUAUGUAGCCUUUUGGAUCUAACUUCUUUCUACUUGGCGUCAUGCAUUUCAGAGAACUUCAUUAUGUUGCAAGUGUCAACAGCGUGUUCCUUUUUAAGGCUGAGUAGCAUUCCAUCGUGUGGAUACACCACAAUUUGUUUACUUUCACCAGUUGAAGGACAUUUGUGUUGUUUCCUGAUUUUUCAGCAAUUAUGAAUGAAACGUCUAUCAAUAUUGGCAUACAGGCUUUUGUGUAAACAUAUGUUUACAUUUCUCCUGGCUAAAUACCCGGGAGUGAGAUGGCUGGGUCAUGUGAUAGGAAACCUCCAAACCGUUUUCUAAAGCGGAUAAGCCGUUCUUCAGUCCCAGCAGAGUUCUAGUUGCUCUGCACCCUCACUAGCCCUUGGCCUCAUCACUUUUUUGUUUUGUUUUGUUUUUAAAACUUGAGCCAUUCUAAUGAGUGUAGUAGUGGUCUCUGGUGACUUUCAUUUGUAUUUCCCUAAUGACUAAUGAUGUCGAGCAUCUUUUCAUGUGCUCAUUUGCCAUCUGUACAUCUUCUUUGGUGUCAAAAUCUUUUGCUUGUUUUUUAAUCCAUUUGUUUAAUUAUGGUAGAGUUCAAGGUUGAGUUUUUUUUUUUCAUAUGGAUGUUAAAUUGUCCCAGCAGCAUUUAUUGAAAAGACUGUAUUUUCUCCAUUGAAUUAACCUUUCGCUUUUGUAAAAAGUUCGUGAGCCAUAUUUGUUUGGUUCUGUUUUUGGACCCUUCAUUCUGAUUCAUUGGUUUUUGUGCGUAUCCUUUCUCCUUUCACAUUUUAGAAUCAGCUUGCCAAUAUCUACAAAAAAUCCUAAUGGCACCAGGCGUGGUGGCUCACGCCUGUAAUCCCAGCACUUUGGGAGGCUGAGUCGGGUGGAUCGUUUGAGGUCAGGAGUUUGAGACCAGCCUGGCCAACAUGGUGAAACCCCAUCUUUACUAAAAAUACAAAACUUAGCUGGGUUUGGUGGUGCGCGCCUGUAAUCCCAGCUACUUAGGAGGCUGAGGCUAGAUAAUCGCUUGAACCCGGGAGGCGGAGGUUGCAGUGAGCAGAGAUUGCACCCCUGCACUCUGGCUUGGGCGACAAAGCAAGACUCCAUCUCAGAAAAACAAAUCCCAAUGGGAUUUUGACUGGGGUUGCACUGAAUCCAUAAACCAAUUUGGAGGAAAUUGACAUCUUAAUAAAUAUAGAGUUUUCCAUUUUAUGAACAUGGUAUAUUCUCCAAAGUCUUUGAUUUCCUUUAUCAGUGUUUUGUGGUCUUCAUCAUACAUACUCUACCGUUGGUUAGAUUUAUACCUCUAAGUGUUUUAUGGUACUAUUUUAAAUUAUACUGUAUUUUAAAUUUCUAAUUGCUCAUUGCUAGUAUAUAGAAAUAUAAUUGACUUUGUAUGUGCUAGCCCUGUAUCCUCCAACCUCACUAAACUCAUUUAUUGGUUCUAAGAAUUUUUUGGUAGAUUCCUUGGAAUUUUCUGUCAUGUCUAUGAAUAGUGACAGUUUUAUAUCUUCCUUUCAAUCUGUAUGCUAUUAAUUUCAUUUUCUUACCUGAUUGUACUGGCUAAGACUUGCAGUAUAAUGUUGAAGGGAGGAGUAAGAGCAGACAGUCUUGCCUUAUUUCUGAUGUUAGGGGAAAAUCAUUGAGUGUUUCACAUUGAGUGUGAUGUUACCUGUAGGUUUUCGGUAGAUGAACGGUAUGCAUAUUUGAAAAGCCACCACUGUCCUGAAAGAUGUCACAAUAUAGAAAUGGUAUAGAUUUGGAGUUCAGAGAAUAAGUUCUGGAGUCAGACUUACUGGGUUUGAAUUCUGACUCGACUCCUUAGCGGCUGCUAGAUGUUGGAGUUUUGGGAAGAUAGGCUAAGCGAAUACAUGUAAAAUGCUUAGAAUGGUGCCUAGUAUAUUGUAUGCUCUCAAUGAAUGUUAGUUGUUAUUCUGUUUGGACAACAGUAAAAAUAGCCAAAGAGCUCAUGGAGCCUGGAUGUAGGAAUUUUUUGGCCCAGACCGUGGGGAUUUUGAUGCCCAUAUUGGAAACUUUGGAGAAUGUUUUGGUUCAGGUGUGGAUUCUUAUUGAGUCAUUGAGCACAUUUGGGUCCGAACACUCUCUGAAUCAGGGAUAUGGAGGAAUCCAUACCAAAAGAACAGGUUGUUUCAUAGAAACAGGGAGGGGAACAUCACACACCG